UUAAAUAGUCACGUCAUGGACGCUAUAUGGAAUCAUAUGCAGUUAGAGCGCCCACCGAAUGCAACUUGUUGCAUUCGGCGUGAAAAAUUUGAUACAACAGGAUUUUUUAAUACUCUGGACAAAAUUGUAAGAGAUUUAAUUUCCCAAGAAAUCUUGCACAAAGAAGCAGCAAUCCUGAGUAGAUUAAUAUACCGUAUGAAAAGUAAAUUCCGAAAUGAUAAGGGUAUGAAAGCUAUGUCAAAGCUUAACAGAGCUUUGCUGAAUUAUCUUUCAUUGUGCCUUGAAAAAGAAUAUGAAAAUUUGAGAAACUAUAUUGAAUUUGACUGUAAAUAUGUUAAGUUGCCUACUAAGCAAAUGGUAGAAUAUGUUUUGGUAAGAACUCAAGGGUUUGCAAAGUUAAUGGCACGCAUAGAAGAAAUAUCAAAACAUGCUGCUCAUUUUCUUAGAAACAGAAUAAUGUUAGGCCAUGCAUGGCCUGUUGCUAUCAUUGCAUACUCUGUUGUCAGUAGAAUAUGGCUGUUAUCAAGGCAUUUAACAAACAGAUCUUGCAUAUGGUACAAUGAUUUACAUCACUACUUACAAUCAUUUAAAGUCUCAGGAUUAAAUUGGCUUCCCAUGGGAUUUGAUCUCCCAUCUGAUUUACGGGCAUGGUUAGCACUACCAUGGAUAGAUGAGCCUACACCACGUGUCCCCAGCAGUCAUGGAAUAAAAAAUAUCAUGUUCAAAUUAAUUACACCCUGUGAUUAUGACUCGGACGAGGACCUGGAUUUAAACAGGCACAAUUAUAGCAAAGAAAUAGAAUUGAAAAAUACUUCUUUAAACCUACAAAAGAAAAAUGCUGCAUGUAAUGAUAUUAUAAUAGAUAUAGACAGUGUUGACAAUGACGCAGGAGAAAUUAUAGAUCGUCACUCGUUUAGUUUAAAACAAACUAAACAGACUUCCAUAAAAGCUGAAAAAUCUAAGAAAAUAAAAAUCGAAGAGCAGACUGUUUCUAAUGUAAUAGAAGAAAAUGUGGAAACGGUGCCAAAAAAUUUGAAAAAAAAGGAGCGUUUAAUAAAGGAUUUAACGUUCGCCAACGUCAAGAAUAAGUCAGAGUUGAUGUUUUUUUUAGACAAGGAAUCCCAUCCCGGCUUAGACAAGUUACAAUGGAACAUGAUCAGAAACAAGAGCAAGAAACAACUGAACAAAUUGGACACGUCUUCCGACAAAGCAGACCAAUCUAUCUCAAUAAAAAAGGGCAGGUCAUGGUGUGAAACAACUCAUUAUUCCCGAGUACACGUACAUGCAUAGUACAUUUUGAAAUUAUUAAAUUAUUCAGCAGCAAAAUCGAAAGAAUGCAACUUUAUGAUGAAUAUAAUUCAGUUGCAUAAUGAUUAUGCAUCGUAAUCCAGAUGGAGGCGGUUCGUGUAGCGGCGCGGCCUCAUCCACAGCCUAAAUCCGGCGUUGUACUGUCUUUUCUUCAUGUUGUUGAAGCAACAGGCCCGAAAUUGUCGAGUGCCGCAUAUAUCAGCGCACUCUCGGCCGCAUUGGUCGCAGGAUAAAGUCUCUCCAAUAGUCCAGAAAGCACACACUGCAACGUAGAACCCGGUGUUUCUUUUUUUGGUACAAGCUGUGCCGCCCGAAGAAAUGCAUUUAUGGAUGUGGCGCCAGAACGUAAUGAAUUUUAAGCAAGUAAUUACAAGUUACCGCAUCUACAUGCCGCGCGGCGUGUCACGAACUUUUUAAAUUUUCCGGUCGAGAAACUAUGUGCUGGAGAAAUUUUUCAUUACAAAUUAACAUCUUCUGAUCUUCCGGUUCGCGGAACUCAGGGCAUUAAAUACGGACGCGAUUGGUUAAGGUUUUAGUAGCAACGAUGCCCUGGCGGCUGCUUUAAGUGAAACACUGUUUGAUGGGAUUAUCUCUUUGCAAAAGAGAUUACACUGGGCGAGGCGAUACCGUCUAUUUCGGGAUCCUUUGACGCGCUUCGGAUCUCGCAAUUAACAGAGCAUAGCCUAUUUUUUAUAAUCGAGAAAGAUUAAUUAGUUAGUAACAGAAAAAAGUAACGCUUACCUAUCAGGAACAGUAUCAAGCAAGUGGCAUUCAUCUUCAUGUUUGAUAAUCCGGCUGCGGAAGCUUUGAACAAAAGGACAAUUUAUUUUUAAUUAAAAUAGACAAGGAUCCGUUUUAUUAAAUUUUUUUGUUAAAUUUUUAUUGCACUAUGUGUUUUUAAUUUAUCGUUUGUACUAUGGAAUAGGGUACCGCACUUUGUAAGAUUUUAACAGACCACGAAGCAAGCUCUGAAGUAUAAUGAAAAGAUAUAGGAUUCAAAAGGAUAUUAAAAAUAAGAUCUGUGUGCUCAAACUACACAGGCAUUAUCUACACAGACUUUCAAACUGGAAGCAAGUGGUUGAAGCGUACGAUACUGAUCAGAGAGAUGCAAACUCACCAAUCCUUCAGGGAUGAACGUCGAAGACCAAGUGAUAAGACUCCUGUGGAGGACCACCGCCUCAAGAUAUAGUCCCCCACCAGGCUCCUGUCGCCUCCUGCAUCCUUAACGCGCACGCAAUCGCAUUUUCUGCAUCGAUACGGUAUUCAGAACAAUCUCCGAGUCGAUUUACAACUAUAAUUAGACUUCUAAUCGGCAAGGACUGAUGGCAGGAGCCACCUACGCGAAUGACCAGGGAUUUGAGGAGUUCGGUUGGAAUAGGGGCGACAAUGCUGAUGGGAAACGUUGAUUGAUGAUUUCUCGUGGCGGUACUUGUUUGCGACAAGGAUUCAGCUGAAACACAGACCAUAGAAGAUAGCCAUUUUGGAGCCAAAUUGGUACACUUAAUAUUUUAAAAAUACCGGGAUAGUAAACGAUCCUCUCUCUUCGCUUGUAAUCCGUGUGAGGAAUGGAGACCUCGCAGUCCAACAGGGUCGGCUCGAAGGUGUUUCUGAUGAUCACGACCCGCUUCACGGAUAGAUCCUUCCUGUACCACUCUAUUUUCUCUGUUCUGUCGUAGUAGCUGUGUACUUCCACUCCUUCUACAUAGAACUUGAGGAUCGGUCUCGGAUGUGCUCCGUUCACCACGCAUGUCAAGUUCAAAUGGGUCUUAUUAAAAGAAGAUACGUGAAUCGUCGCGUUCUUCUCUGGUGCUAAAGAAUUAUCCAGGACUCUGUUUUUAUUCGACCUAUCGGAAUCCAAUUAAUAGGAUUUUUAAUAGUCUUUAGAUACCAUAAACGAUCAUCUGCGAUCUCUUCGAAUCCUCCUCCUGAAAGGUGCUAACCGAACAAGUGUACUCGCCGCUCAUGUCGACGGUGACCGUCUUCAAGUGAAUGAUAGAUUGCGAUGUUGGAUGUCUUAAAUUGUUCCCAGGAUAUUCAGCGAACCCGUCUAUCACGCCCACAUCCUGUGGCAGCACUAUAAAUGAGCAGAGUGAAAGAAAAUGUUUAUAUACGAAUUAAUUGAUAGCUUCGUUUAAAUUACUUGGUGGAAUCCACUGAUAAACUUGGUCCAUAUUAUGGUACCAUUUCACUACGAGGCCGUUCUCAUCCGAUCGAACAUGGUAGACGCAAGAUAGAUCGAUGGGACCGGUCCCAUUACGUACAAUACGUGGAAGGUCCAAAACGUUGAUUCUCGAGGCGCACAUGUCUAAAAGAAAUUUAUUUAUCGAUACAUAUUUAUUUAGUAAUUAACAUAACGCGUAAAUAUUUUAAGUGUGGAAUUCAUCGAUUGUUUGUCUCCUUGUAAAAUUAGAAUCAACGCGAUAUACGCUUUAGAGUCUAUAUGUAUGUAUAAAAUGAUUUUAUCGUGUUAGAGCCGACCCGUACGCAAACUCGAAACAACUGGAAAAGUCGCAUGAAUUUUUAGUAAUGUGCUUCGAGUCUUAACAAUUUUAAUUACGCUAGAUUUCAGUUUCAUUUACCUGGGAACGGGACGGAUAUUAUAGCAAUAGCUAGCAGAAAAAUCGUGUACACCGUUGACAACAUUUUCAACGAAGACCUCUUUCCAAACUGAUGCACAAUUAAUCAUGCUUCGUUAAACUUAAAUCAAGCGCAGGCGAAAGAUUCUGCGCAGCCAUCGGAUCAGCAUUGUUCGUUGUAUAAGCGUUAAAAUGAUCAGGAUUAUUGCUGCAAUCCAGUUUUGCAAUUUUUGGUAAUAUAUGGACGAGUAAUUUGUUUCGAAA